CUCCUCGGUCGCCCUCCCGCCGCCGCCGCCCCUCCCUCCUCGGUCGCCCUCCCUCCGUCGCGACCGACGCUCAGACGAGCCUCCGCUCUGGCCUCCACCACCGCGACGUCCCUGUCUCCGCUCCGGGAGCCGCCGCGACCGACGCGCCCCACCUCCGCUCCGGGAACCGCCGCGACCGAUGCCGCCUCCGCUGCCCCGACCGACGCGUCGCCGCCUUCGCUCCCGAUUCCGUCGCCCCGACCAAACGCGCCCCCACCUCCUCUCCGGGAGCCACCGCGGGGGCCUCAUCCUCCAGCGUCGUCGUUGCUGUGUCCUCACCAUCUGCUACUAGGCGCAACCCUGCCUCCACGACCCUGUCUCCGGCUGCGUCGCCCACAUCUUCGCCCUCCAACAGCAGGCGUACUACUUACUUGCCACUCUAUAAUCGACCACAAAAUCCUUGGUCUGCUGCUUCUGCUUGUGCAUGCAUGCAUGCAUAUCAAUCGAUGCGUAUGGAUCUGGAUCGUCUUGUCCUCAGCUCAUCCAGCUAGGACAUGACGAUUUUUCCGGAGUAGGCGUGUUUCUUUCUCGAGAAAGGCAAAGGUCUAUUUCCUGGAGGAAACCAACGAGCAGUGAGAAAAGGCUAACACGUCAGGCUUCAGUAAACGUACACAAUUAGCAAAAGCAAGGGGCCUUUUUUUUCUUUCAGACGUAAGACAUUCCUGUGUUCUUUGUAAUUAAACAUGGUCCUUUAGGUUCUGUUCUUCUCAUAUUUCCAGUUGAACACAUGAAUAAGGAAUUCAACACUUGUUGAACUUAUUAAUUUAGGAGUUCAAUAUUGUGUAUCUAGAAAAAGAACAAUGUUUCUUUUAUAUAUUUAUUAGAUAGGGGCACUGCUUUACUUCUUUUGCUUGCUGAAUUAUUUAUUUUCACAUAUGAGUAAAAUGGACAUGCAAAGAUUCAACAAUAUCAUCACUUAUUUUCACUUUUGAUUAUUGAGUUAUUACUUCAAAUUUGCACUAGAAAUCUUUUCUCUGGGUGUCUUGCUCACUGAUAGCCACACGAAGACAUCAUUGCUACUAUGUCCCUCAUUGUUCUAUCCACCGACGUGCUCACUCAUCUUUUCAAUGUAAGCACCUAGCACUAAUUUUAGCAAUUCUUUCUUUAAUCUCUAACGGCUUAUAUGGAAAUGCUCUCGAUUCCAGAAGCUUUUUAAUUUUCUUCGUUUGUCUCCAUUUCCCUCCAUUAAUUACCACAGACUGUAGUCAACCAAUAAUCUUGUUGUUUAUUGGUUCCUCGAUUAAAUUUGUCAAUUGAAGUAAUGCCGCAAUGGUUGUUCUUUUGUAGGAUAAUAAGAUCAAUGGUACUAGGAAGAGAGAAGAGAGCCAGAGGAGUAGGAUGAGGAAGUACAGGUCGCAGCUGGAGCAGGAAGUCAAGAAAUUAAAGAGGCAGCUGGAAGAAGAGAUUGAUUUGCAUGUUGGGUUGGUAGAUGCUGUUACUCAAAAUGCUGCACCUGAAGUCUUCUGUGAAGAUUCUACAUAUGACUGCAUCUAUAUAAAAUAUUUACAUAUGCCAAUAUGUAGAAUAGUUUGGACAACUAGAUUGGGAGGCUUUUCUAUAUAGCGACAACAACAACAACUGGAUUGGGAGACUUUUCUAGAUCGUCGGCCUUGUAAGCAGCCUGCUAGAGCAUGGUAAAUCAAAACUUUGCCAGAAGAAGACGAAGGACAUGACAAACCUGAAUAAUCUGUUUUCUACAUGCCCAUGAAUGCUUGUCGACUAUCGCUCUCUCUUUCAUCUCUGUCUCCGUGACCUAAGACAUGCACUGAGGUUGUCCUCCGCUGCUGGCCAACCCUGAGCUCUGCUCUUAGAUAUAUCUCAACUCGGUAUCUUUAGUGCAGCUUGCCAUAUGGUUUGUAAAUAUUUCGAGGAAUGCCAUGGGCCCAUGGCCAUGAGUCAUGAUG